ensembl:lncRNA
GCAGAUGUGAGUUCUGACAUGAUGGUGGAGGUCAGUGCUGCAGGGAGGUGGGUCAUUCACUUCAUGAUGGUGGAGGUCAGUGCUGCAGGGAGGUGGGUCAUUCACUUCAUGAUGGUGGAGGUCAGUGCUGCAGGGAGGUGGGUCAUUCACUUCAUGAUGGUGGAGGUCAGUGCUGCAGGGAGGUGGGUCAUUCACUUCAUGAUGGUGGAGGUCAGUGCUGCAGGGAGGUGGGUCAUUCACUUCAUGAUGGUGGAGGUCUGUGCUACAGGGAAGUGGUCAUUCACUUCAUGAUGGUGGAGGUCAGGGCUACAGGGAGGUGGUCAUUCACUUCAUGAUGAUGGAGGUCAGGGCUACAGGGAGGUGGUCAUUCACUUCAUGAUGAUGGAGGUCAGGGCUACAGGGCGGUGGUUGUUCAGGCAGGUGAUGGAAGGUUUCUUCGGUACAGGAACGAUGGUGGUCUGUUUGAAGCAGGAGGGGACUGUAGACAGGGAGAGGUUGAAAAUGGAGGUGAAAACCUCUGCUUGUUGGUCAGUGCACCCCCCGAGGACAUGUCCUGGAAUGCCAUCUGGCCCUGGUGACUUCCAAGGACUUUUUAAAAACUCUCCUCACGUCAGCCAUGGUUAGGGACAGAGUGCAGUCGUCCUGGUCCUCAACAAGCCUCACUGAAGGAGUUGUGUUGGUCGCCUCAAACUGUGUAUAGAAGGAGUUGAGCUGGUCAGGGAGCGAGGCAGUGGGACGAACAUCAUUACUAUUCCUCCCUUUUGUAUUCUGUGACGUCGCAGUCCUCCCCACAACUGGGGUCAGAGCUGUGGUAGUUAGACUCAAACUUAUCCCUG